rnacentral:rRNA from 1 species
UACGGGGGGGGCAAGCGUUGUUCGGAAUUACUGGGCGUAAAGGGCUUGUAGGUGGCCAACUAAGUCAGACGUGAAAUCCCUCGGCUUAACCGGGGAACUGCGUCUGAUACUGGAUGGCUGGAGUGUGGGAGAGGGAUGCGGAAUUCCUGGUGUAGCGGUGAAAUGCGCAGAUAUCAGGAAGAACACCAAUGGCGAAAGCAGCUUUCUGGGACGGUACUGACGCUGAGACGCGAAAGCGUGGGGAGCGAACAGG